rnacentral:rRNA from 1 species
GGGGAGUUGGGCGGCGUGCUUACCAUGCAGUCGAACGAUGAAGCCCACUUGUGGGUGGAUUAGUGGCGAACGGGUGAGUAACACGUGAGUAACCUGCCCUUGACUCUGGGAUAAGCCUGGGAAACUGGGUCUAAUACCGGAUAUGACCUUCCAUCGCAUGGUGGUUGGUGGAAAGCUUUUGUGGUUUUGGAUGGACUCGCGGCCUAUCAGCUUGUUGGUGGGGUAAUGGCCUACCAAGGCGACGACGGGUAGCCGGCCUGAGAGGGUGACCGGCCACACUGGGACUGAGACACGGCCCAGACUCCUACGGGAGGCAGCAGUGGGGAAUAUUGCACAAUGGGCGCAAGCCUGAUGCAGCGACGCCGCGUGAGGGAUGACGGCCUUCGGGUUGUAAACCUCUUUCAGUAGGGAAGAAGCGUAAGUGACGGUACCUGCAGAAGAAGCGCCGGCUAACUACGUGCCAGCAGCCGCGGUAAUACGUAGGGCGCAAGCGUUAUCCGGAAUUAUUGGGCGUAAAGAGCUCGUAGGCGGUUUGUCGCGUCUGCCGUGAAAGUCCGGGGCUCAACUCCGGAUCUGCGGUGGGUACGGGCAGACUAGAGUGAUGUAGGGGAGACUGGAAUUCCUGGUGUAGCGGUGAAAUGCGCAGAUAUCAGGAGGAACACCGAUGGCGAAGGCAGGUCUCUGGGCAUUAACUGACGCUGAGGAGCGAAAGCAUGGGGAGCGAACAGGAUAAAC